GACGAACGCUGGCGGCGUGCUUAACACAUGCAAGUCGAACGGAAAGGCCCUGCUUUUGUGGGGUGCUCGAGUGGCGAACGGGUGAGUAACACGUGAGUAACCUGCCCUUGACUUUGGGAUAACUUCAGGAAACUGGGGCUAAUACCGGAUAGGAGCUCCUGCUGCAUGGUGGGGGUUGGAAAGUUUCGGCGGUUGGGGAUGGACUCGCGGCUUAUCAGCUUGUUGGUGGGGUAGUGGCUUACCAAGGCUUUGACGGGUAGCCGGCCUGAGAGGGUGACCGGCCACAUUGGGACUAAGAUACGGCCCAGACUCCUACGGUAGGCAGCAGUGGGGAAUAUUGCACAAUGGGCGGAAGCCUGAUGCAGCAACGCCGCGUGCGUGAUGACGGCCUUCGGUUUGUAAACCGCUUUCGCCUGUGACGAAGCGUCAGUGACGGUAAUGGGUAAAGAAGCACCGGCUAACUACGUG
rnacentral:rRNA from 1 species